AAAAGAACCUGUACAAGUUACUUUCACUUUGUAACCAUUAGGCAAAGUUACAAGAUAAGGAACAGUCAAAGGUAUGAUGUUAAAGAGUAGCUUUUUAUCAUGAGUCAUAUGAUUAGAUGCCCCUGAAUCUAUGAUCUAGGUGACAGAAUUAAUGUGUGUAAGCAUGCAUAAUUUGGAAUCAGAAACAAGACUCUCAGUC
rnacentral:lncRNA from 1 species